rnacentral:lncRNA from 1 species
CUUAACUAAAAACAAUUAGAUAAGAAGACAGGAAUUUGAUAGAUUUCCAGGCACACGCCUCAAACUUCAUUAUCAAAUACAAACCUUCAAGUAGGUUUCAGUCUCACAAAUAUCUAUUCAAAUCUGUAUCACAGAAACUGAAAUUUUCCCCCAGUCAUCUGUGUAACUUAGGUUCAAAAAGUAUAUUUCCCACAGAUGGCAUUUUACACUUCCCUGAAAAUAACUGUUCCAAUCUUUCUGGAAGGCAAUCUGGCAAUUCAUGUUAAAAGCUCGCAAAUGGCUUUUCCUUUGACAGCGCAAUCCCUUUGGACUGUUUGUGAAUUUUUCCUUAAAAAACAGUCAUGAAUGUGUGCAGAUAUUUAUCUGUGAUAAUGCUUAUCACAUCAGUGUUAACGAGAACUAAAAACAAUUACAAUUGCAAAAGGACAAACCAGGAGUGCAGCUAAGUAAAUAAUGAAAAAGUUCGUAUAAUGAAAUUAAUCAGCAGUACUUUAAAACAAUACUUUGUGGGAGAACAUUUAAUGUAGAACGAUGGAUUAUAAAGUGAGAAAAUCAUGUUUACAAGCAGUGAUAAGGUUUGAUCCCCUAAAAAAUGUUGAACAAGAAAGAGCAAGAGGGAUUAAGCUGAUUCAAAAUACUGAUAUUCUUUGUCUCUGGUUGUUCUCAGAAUAGAGCCCAAGUCCCUUAAUAUGAUGUGAAAGACCCCAUGUGCUCGUGUUUCCAUCUGCAGUUCCAGCUUCCUCUCCGCCCCUUCCCUUUCCAUUCACCGCCCACCACUCGUUGGCUCUGUUCCAGGAAAAUGGGAUGGCCUUCCAGACUCAGGACCAGGUCAUCUGCAGAUCCUUCCCUCUAGAAUCUGCCACACCCAUACCACCGCCUCCCUUACCCUGACUCUCCUUCGGCCGCAGCACCCAACCCCUCCCCUCCUCUGGAACAGGUCUCCCUUAAACCCCUCAAAGGAAGAACAUAAACACCAAGCAGAGAGUCUCUGUGGAUGGUGA